GACAGAGGGUGCAAACGUUGCUCGGAAUUACUGGGCGUAAAGCGUGCGCAGGCGGUUUCGUAAGACCGAUGUGAAAUCCCCGGGCUUAACCUGGGAACUGCAUUGGUGACUGCAAGGCUUGAGUGUGUCAGAGGGAGGUGGAAUUCCGCGUGUAGCAGUGAAAUGCGUAGAUAUGCGGAGGAACACCGAUGGCGAAGGCAGCCCCCUGGGUCGACACUGACGCUCAGGCACGAAAGCGUGGGGAGCAAACAGG
rnacentral:rRNA from 1 species